CCCAGAAACAUCAUGAACUUAUGGAUGAGUAGUGGCGUUUGUUGAUGAUAUGAUAUGUGCUUAGUUGUCUGAGUAACAACGGAUUGAUGACCCUGACCAUGAUUUACCCCAUGCCACAGCAGCUGCUACAAUGGGGUAGAUCUCCCAAAGGGGCUGAAGUGGUGGAAAAAUUUCCAAACCUGGAUGCCAUGGCCAACAGCCCCAAAGCAAUUGUUCCCGGUAGAUCGCUGCCAAACCCGUGGUAUACGCUGUGUCUGACCAUCUGGUUGGAGAAGUGUCAGACAAUCCUGGAAGGAACAUGCUUUUACAAUGCCAAGUGGUUAAGAAAUCCCCCCCAUGUGCAGGUCUGCUGUUGCUGAGGUGUCUAGGCACCUCCUCUGAUCGUCAUGUUGGAAGUGUGGAAAAAAGGGGAAAGUACUCUGGAUGUGAAAGCGUGGUCUUGUGGUAUGAUUGGCAUGGCAAAAUUAAGGAACCUGGUAGGGAUUGUAGUUCCUUGUAGUUGUAAGUACUAAGCAGGAGGUAG